rnacentral:rRNA from 1 species
GAUGAACGCUGGCGGCGUGCCUAAUACAUGCAAGUCGAGCGAACAGACGAGGAGCUUGCUCCUCUGACGUUAGCGGCGGACGGGUGAGUAACACGUGGAUAACCUACCUAUAAGACUGGGAUAACUUCGGGAAACCGGAGCUAAUACCGGAUAAUAUAUUGAACCGCAUGGUUCAAUAGUGAAAGACGGUUUUGCUGUCACUUAUAGAUGGAUCCGCGCCGCAUUAGCUAGUUGGUAAGGUAACGGCUUACCAAGGCAACGAUGCGUAGCCGACCUGAGAGGGUGAUCGGCCACACUGGAACUGAGACACGGUUCAGACUCCUACGGGAGGCAGCAGUAGGGAAUCUUCCGCAAUGGGCGAAAGCCUGACGGAGCAACGCCGCGUGAGUGAUGAAGGUCUUCGGAUCGUAAAACUCUGUUAUUAGGGAAGAACAAAUGUGUAAGUAACUAUGCACGUCUUGACGGUACCUAAUCAGAAAGCCACGGCUAACUACGUG